AUUGGAGAUGAUUAGGCGAGACCAGGAGAGAGAGAGAGAGCACUCAGCAGAAAAGAUACCUCAUUGAUCAACAUUCGACUAGCCAUGGAGAGCCGGGUCUUGGGAGGAAAGUGGCUUGUGAUCAUAAUUCGAAGGCCAGCCUCAGAGAAAGAAAGCUGGUGUGGAUUCAGAUGCAGAACUCCAAGCUACCAUGUCUGCCUGAGUCCCACCAUGCUUCCUGUCAUGAUGAUAAUGGACUGAACCUCUGGAACUGUACGCCAGCCCCAAUAAAAUGCUUUCUCUU